UUCGGGGACAAACGCCCGGAUACAUCACUCGGUAGGUUAAGGCAGGCCCGCGUGUUAAAGCCGAGGAGAUCCAGGUGAAUUACCAACUUUAUGCCUGACCUCCCCCUCCCCCCGCCGCCCCUUCUUUCCCCAACAUGAACUUGGAAACAACUCAGGCCAAGAUGGAACCUCCUUGUCUCAGAAAAGCGAUUUCUCUGUUUAAUUCUCGGGAAACUGAGCUGACUGGGCCAGGCAACGCAAUCCUUUUCCGAUUACAGAAAGGAUCAAACUGGGCCGGCCGCCUGCAAGCUCUUCCCGGAACUACAGCCAGCUGCGGCCAACACCUGAGUGCCUUCCGACGGCUGCUUUCUGGGGUUUGAGCUCCAUCUCUCCAGCAGGGCCACCAGGCAUCGGCGCGGCUGGAGGUAGUGGGGGCGGGGGCGCCGUCAAGCCAAGCAUCGACAGGGGCGCAGCUACGUUUAUGAUCCUAAAAUGAACUGCAAAGGAAAUUGUGAAGAGUAACAGCAGAAGCCAGAUCCUCCUGGCCACCAUUCUCAGCUGGUAGCAAGACAUACCUAACAGUGCUGAACUCUGACUGCAGGGAAGCUGAUGGGGUGGUGUGAUCCAUUAAGGGAAGAGAAACCCCAAAGGCCCUUCUAGAGUGUCGUUUCCAUGAAAUGACAGCUUCCCAUGCUGACAUCUUAGAAGCAUUGAAUGAGCUGGUGAUCCUGGAAAUUUAUUGGCAUUCUAUAUGUUUGUGUAACUUGGACUUGGCACGUACCUUUUCAUGUGGAAAUAUUUACGUUUCUGAGAAGCCGCUUUAAUUUAAGGAUGGCAUACAAUUUGUGGUCUCACUGUACGGGCUCAGAUGAGUACAUUUGCAGUUGAAGCUACAAAUUUUGCUUUCCGAAAUUAUGACUUCUCUUUUUCUUUAAAAACAAACAAACAAACACACACAGUGGCAAACCGAGGUUUAUUUCAAUAUUUCUUCUUUCCCAUAAAACAACGCAGUGGCAGCGUCUCCUGAAUAUAUGUGUUUGCCUGCCUCUAAGUGUCUAUCGACUCCCUGAUCCCUCAGCUCUCCCUGAUAGAUGCUAACAGCCCCACAGGCGUGACAGACAGGAUUAAAUAUCAUCUCUCUAAGGACUGAUCAGAAAUGUAAUAACGGUAUGAUAUUCAUAUUUUUUCUUUACCUGUAACUUCAUUGAAUAUAAAUACUGCACAGUGAUACAAGUAAUGGUAAUUUGGGGGAUUUAAUACGGCAUUUCCCAUCAAUAAAGUGUUUUAUCACCAUCAGAUAGUUAACCUCCUAACACCACUGUGAACUAAUUAGUUCAGUUGGGUUCCUAUCCUAUACUGCUCAAAAGGAAUUUUCUUAUGUCUGCUGUACAGUUGGAAAAAGUACGAAAACAUUGCUCAGUGAGUGGAUGCACAAAUUUAAUAUAAAGGUAAUACUUAACUCUGU